rnacentral:rRNA from 1 species
UACGUAGGUGGCAAGCGUUGUCCGGAUUUACUGGGCGUAAAGAGCGCGCAGGCGGUCGUUCAAGUCGCGUGUGAAAGCCCCCGGCUCAACUGGGGAGGGUCACGCGAUACUGAUCGACUCGAAGGCAGGAGAGGGAAGUGGAAUUCCCGGUGUAGCAGUGAAAUGCGUAGAUAUCGGGAGGAACAUCUGUGGCGAAGGCGACACCCUGGACCAGCACUGACACUGAGGCACGAAAGCGUGGGGAGCAAACAGG